GAUGAACGCUGGCGGCGUGCCUAACACAUGCAAGUCGAACGGAGUCGUUUUGGAAAUCUCUUCGGAGAUGGAAUUCUCGACUUAGUGGCGGACGGGUGAGUAACGCGUGAGCAAUCUGCCUUUAAGAGGGGGAUAACAGUCGGAAACGGCUGCUAAUACCGCAUAAAGCAUUAAAUUCGCAUGUUUUUGAUGCCAAAGGAGCAAUCCGCUUUUAGAUGAGCUCGCGUCUGAUUAGCUAGUUGGCGGGGUAACGGCCCACCAAGGCGACGAUCAGUAGCCGGACUGAGAGGUUGAACGGCCACAUGGGGACUGAGACACGGCCCAGACUCCUACGGGAGGAAGCAGUGGGGAAUAUUGCGCAAGGGGGGAAACCCUGACGCAGCAACGCCGCGUGAUUGAAGAAGGCCUUCGGGUUGUAAAGAUCUUUAAUCAGGGACGAAACAAAUGACGGUACCUGAAGAAUAAGCACCGGCUAACUACGUG
rnacentral:rRNA from 1 species